GUGUCAGCAGCCGCGGUAAUACAUAGGGUGCAAGCGUUGUCCGGAAUUAUUGGGCGUAAAGAGCUCGUAGGUGGUUAGAUACGUCGGAUGUGAAAAUCAGGGGCUCAACCCCUGACCUGCAUUCGAUACGGUCUAGCUAGAGUGUGGUAGGGGAGACUGGAAUUCCUGGUGUAGCGGUGGAAUGCGCAGAUAUCAGGAGGAACACCGAUGGCGAAGGCAGGUCUCUGGGCCAUUACUGACACUGAGGAGCGAAAGCGUGGGGAGCGAACAGGAUUAGAUACCCCCGUAGUCC
rnacentral:rRNA from 1 species